GACGAACGCUGGCGGCGUGCUUAACACAUGCAAGUCGAACGAUGAACCCGGAGCUUGCUCCGGUGGAUUAGUGGCGAACGGGUGAGUAGCACGUGAGUAACCUGCCCUUGACUCUGGGAUAACUGCGGGAAACUGUAGCUAAUACCGGAUACGACCCUCGGCGGCAUCGCCAGGGGGUGGAAAGAAUUUCGGUCAAGGAUGGACUCGCGGCCUAUCAGCUAGUUGGUGAGGUAACGGCUCACCAAGGCGACGACGGGUAGCCGGCCUGAGAGGGUGACCGGCCACACUGGGACUGAGACACGGCCCAGACUCCUACGGGAGGCAGCAGUAGGGAAUCUUCCGCAAUGGACGAAAGUCUGACGGAGCAACGCCGCGUGAGUGAUGAAGGCUUUCGGGUUGUAAACCUCUUUUAGCAGGGAAGAAGCGAAAGUGACGGUACCUGCAGAAAAAGCACCGGCUAACUACGUGCCAGCCGCCGCGGUAA
rnacentral:rRNA from 1 species